rnacentral:rRNA from 1 species
GACGAACGCUGGCGGCGUGCUUAACACAUGCAAGUCGAACGAGGAUUAGUUGGUUGAGAGCUUCGGCAGGAUACCGGUUAAUUCGAGUGGCGGACGGGUGAGUAACGCGUGAGCAACCUGUCCCAGACAGGGGGAUAACACUUGGAAACAGGUGCUAAUACCGCAUAAGACCACGGUAGGACAUCCUACAGGGGUAAAAGGAGCAAUCCGGUUUGGGGUGGGCUCGCGUCCGAUUAGAUAGUUGGUGAGGUAACGGCCCACCAAGUCGACGAUCGGUAGCCGACCUGAGAGGGUGAUCGGCCACAUUGGAACUGAGAGACGGUCCAA